UUAUGAGAAUUAAUUAUCUUGUCUAUUUGAAGAUUUUCUGUAGACUUUAAAGGGAGAAAAAAGAUUGUUGCACAAGCAUAUUCCACUCAACUGCUGUUUGUACUGUCUAUCUUCAAGUUCAUAGUCCAGAUUCAUUUCCUGGAGUUAACUUCACAUUUCUAACUUGUCACAGUGAGAUGUCAUCAGUAGUGAUGUGUAUAUGUCUCAUUAGUAGUGGGUAUAAUCUUUAUCUGUUAGGAAACAUUGUCUUCCCCUAUGAGGUGGGCUGCUGUCUGCAUGUUGUCAGCCUUGCACCGUGGGCUUUGUGGCAUUUUUUCCCACUGCUACAUAGUCAUGACUUGCCUCCCAGGAAAUUGACCUCAUACUUUAAUGAUCUUCACCCCAAAAUUAAACAAAUAUACAUUUCCUCUCUAAAUUUAAAUUUAUUAUUGAAAUUUAAAGAUAAUUUCAGACAUAGAACCAAAUAACAUAGUCUUUUGGAGAAUGUUAGCUAUUAAGCCCAUGGAAACAUAUGAGCCUGGUUUGGAAUUAAUAACAAAACACAGAGCUGUCUUUUUCCAUCUUCAGGUGCUAUAUCCUAUGUGCUUCUGCUAGUACUGACAUUUUCACUUUCAUCUUCCAUGCAACCUCAGAGUGGGUAAAUAGAUUAAAUGUUGAAGUUGGUAUUAAUCCUAAAAUUUAAAGAAUCCAUAUGGAUUGUGGUUUGGUUCACACAUAUUACAUCAACCCCUAACAACCAGAUUAAUUUUCUGCUUAAAAUAUUUGAGAGGUAGUUGUGGUGGAGGAGGAUAAUUUUCAAGUUCAAAGCCAAUUUUUCUAUUUAAGAUUCAUGUUGUUAACAUUACAGAGAAUCCGGUAAAGUGUAAUUAGUACAAGACCUGGGUUGUUCAGAAAGUACUCAAAAGUACAUUUGAAGUCCAUUUGGCUAUUUUGAUGAUGACCUUAUAAACAUUGUAUAUUUGGUUCUGCCUUUCUAAAUGAUCUUCCUAAAGUAGAAAGUGGUUAUAAAGCACCAAAUAAGGAAUUACUUAAAAUUGAUU